CCUACGGGGGGCAGCAGUAAGGAAUAUUGGUCAAUGGGCGGAAGCCUGAACCAGCCAUGCCGCGUGCAGGAAGACGGCCUACGGGUUGUAAACUGCUUUUGCAGGGGAAUAUGUACCUUGAGAAUAAGGAUCGGCUAACUCCGUGCCAGCAGCCGCGGUAAUACGGAGGAUCCAAGCGUUAUCCGGAUUUAUUGGGUUUAAAGGGUGCGUAGGUGGCUUUUUAAGUCAGGGGUGAAAGACGGUAGCUUAACUAUCGCAGUGCCUUUGAUACUGAAGAGCUUGAAUCCACUAGAGGUAGGCGGAAUGUGACAAGUAGCGGUGAAAUGCAUAGAUAUGUCACAGAACACCAAUUGCGAAGGCAGCUUACUAUGGUGGAUUGACACUGAGGCACGAAAGCGUGGGGAUCAAACAGGAUUAGAUACCCUUGUAGUC
rnacentral:rRNA from 1 species